GCCGGGAUGGUGAAACUGGUAUACACAGCGGACUUAAAAUCCGCCGCUGCUAACGCGGCGUACGGGUUCGAUUCCCGUUCCCGGCACCA
rnacentral:tRNA from 1 species